UCUUGGCUCUCGCAUCGAUGAAGAACGCAGCGAAAUGCGAUAAGUAAUGUGAAUGGCAGAAUUCAGNGAAUCAUCGAAUCUUUGAACGCACCUUGCGCUCCCCUGGUAUUCCGGGGAGCAUGCCUGUUUGAGUGUCAUUAAAUUCUCAACCUCGAAUCGUUUGUUUACAGACUUUACGAGGCUUGGACUUUGGAGUGUGCCGGUCUCUAACGAGAUCGACUCCUCUUUAAAUGCAUUAGCUGGAACCUCUUGUGGACCAGACUACGGUGUGAUAAUUAUCUACGCUGUUGGUCUUGUGAAGCACUUUAUUGUUACGAGGUUCUGCUUCUAAUCGUCCUUUACUGCGACAAUGAGGGUUUUCUUUUUUGGAAUUCCUUUGACAUUUUGACCUCAAAUCAGGUAAGACUACCCGCUGAACUUAA
rnacentral:misc_RNA from 1 species